GCUGAGACCGCUGGAGCAGCCUGGAGACCAGCAGGAAGGGCACUGACAUCGCUAUGCGUGUAAAGAUGAAAGAGCCAGGGAGUAUUUUCAUUCAUCUCAUGCAACUCCAAUGUCAUGUGCAUUUUUCCGAAGACAGUGGCCAUGGCUGAACAAUUUAAAGAAGCAAGUAAAUGUGUCCUCUGCCUAUCUUAUCUUGAAAAACCCAUGGUCCUCGAUUCUGGCUUUAUCUGCUGCCUCUGAUGUAUCAGUGCACUCCGGAAGGAGCCCAGUGGGGAAGGCGUCUCAUGCCCCUCCUGUUCUGUGGUCACUCAGAAGAAUGACAUCCGGCCCAAUUACCAGCUGGGGAAGAUGGUUUCCAAAAUCAAGGAACUAGAGCCCCAGCUGAGAGCAGUUCUAUACCAGAACCCAAGAAUGCUGAAGUUCCAAGUUGACAUGACCAACAAUUGACUCCUCAUUUCUGCUGACAUGUUGUCCUUCCAUUGUGGACCUCUCAGACAGAAUUGGAGGGAGUGUGCUGAGAGAUUCAAACAUGUAAUAUGUGUCCUGGGCUCCCCUCGAUUCACCUCUGCUCAUCAUUACUGGGAAGCGGACUUGGGGACAAGCAA